rnacentral:pre_miRNA from 1 species
AGAAAGACAAACCCUGGGUUUCCGUGUCCAACUUUGACCAUCCGUCUUAUAUGAAAUUUUUUUAUAAUUCGUAUUUUUAUUGUUGCUAGAUGAUAAAACAUGAUUAAUAUUUUAUGCGUGACUUGUCUUUUUAAUUUUUUUCAUAAUUUUUUUAAAUAAGACGGAUGGUCAAACAUUGGACACGGAAACC